CCCUUAGACGUUCUGGGCCGCACGCGCGCUACACUGACCAGUGCAACAAGCAUCCGUCCUUGGCCGACAGGCUCGGGCAAUCUUUGAACGCUGGUCGUGAUGGGGAUAGACUUUUGCAAUUUUUGGUCUUCAACGAGGAAUUCCUAGUAAACGCAAGUCAUCAACUUGCAUUGAUUACGUCCCUGCCCUUUGUACACACCGCCCGUCGCACCUACCGAUUGAAUGGUCCGGUGAAGCCUCCGGAUUGGCGCGCACCUCGGUACCGCCGAGAAGUUGGCUAAACCUUACCAUUUAGAGGAAGGUGGAGUCGUAACA
rnacentral:rRNA from 1 species